GAUGAAGAACGUAGCGAAAUGCGAUACGUAAUGUGAAUUGCAGAAUUCAGUGAAUCAUCGAGUCUUUGAACGCACAUUGCGCCCCCUGGUAUUCCGGGGGGCAUGCCUGUCCGAGCGUCAUUGCUGCCCUCAAGCACGGCUUGUGUGUUGGGCCUCCGUCCUCCUCCCGGGGGACGGGCCCGAAAGGCAGCGGCGGCACCGCGUCCGGUCCUCGAGCGUAUGGGGCUUCGUCACCCGCUCUUGUAGGCCCGGCCGGCGCUUGCCGACACAUCAAUCUUUUUUCCAGGUUGACCUCGGAUCAGGUAGGGAUACCCGCUGAACUUAAGCAUAUCAAUAAGCGGAAGA
rnacentral:misc_RNA from 1 species